CUCAUCUGUAAAAUGGGAAUAAUAAGAGCACCUAUCUCCCAGGGUAGCCAUAAGGCUAAAAUGAGAUAAUAUUUGUAAAGAAUUUCCCAAAAUAACAAAAUGCUAUUGUUUGCUAUUAUUUCUAGGAGCAAAAUUCACAUUUAUGAGAUCACAGAUCAUUUUGAGUAUUUUAGAAUCCUAAAGAACUUUGAGGACAUAUGAUCUAGUGACAAGAACAAGAUGUGAAAUCAGAAGAACUUCAGUUUGAGUCCCUCCUCUUCCAUUUCCUUGAUGCAUGACAGUGGAAAAUCUAGGAAAGGAUUCCGUCUUUCCCCUCACCACCUGUCAGUCCAAAGGAAAAGAUUUACAGACAGUCUCAUCAGGAACAAGGUCUCAGGUCCAGUCAGCAGAUUCUUCUCCAAUCUUCUCCAAAGAAUGAAGACACUCAGAAAGGUGUCACUCCCUUUUAAAGACACUUUCUUUUGCAUCACUUCCUGUGCCUUCCCCUAAUUUUGCAUCUACCAAUCACAGUUGAAGCUUUGCUUUAGGACUGCCCAGGGGCAAUCAGUAUAAUUCUGAUUCGUCACCCACUGUUGCACAUGUGGGUCACAGACCUCCCCCACUCAAGUGUGAAUGGGGUGUUUACAUCUUUGGUGAUUAAAUCUAAAAAUGGGCAGAUCUUCCCACUCAACUUUACAUAGGGUGUUUACACUUUUGGUGAUGAAAUCUAAAAGUGGGCAGAUCUUCCCACUCAACUUAAGUAAUGUGUUUACACUUUUGGUGAUUAAAUCUAAAAUUGGUUAGGGGAAUUAAUUUAAUUUUCACAAUCAGGAAAGAGUUAAAUUUAAUCUUCAUAGUCUUCAAGGGAAACAUCUCUAUUCAACAGAUGAUGAAAAAGAAUUCUGCAAAGGUCAUAGAAGCAGUUAGUAGCAAAGCUGAGACCAGUGUUCCUCCCAGUAGGUCAUGUUCCUUUCUACUCAGCACCAUGAACACAAUAGCAAGAUAAUGAUGAUAAAUGGCAUUUUUAUCUUUAGGAUUUGUCAAUAUACAUAUUGUAUAUGUAAUAUUAGUGUUUAAGGUUUACAAGUGUUAUCAAUAGAGCAUUUCAUUUGAUUCUCACAACUCUGUAAUCUAGGUUCCUCUUAUUACCCCUGUUUUACAUAUGAAGAAACUGAGGGUGAGAGAAGGAUCAUGUCACAGUGAGCAACUCUCUGAAGCAGGAUUCAAACUGAGAAGAGUUCUGGUUCCUACCCUCUUGCCACCCAACCAUCUUACUUAGCAUCAACUAUCUACCAAUGAAGGAUGGGUACUGAUUUCCAAACAUCAGUUUGAAAUGGAAACCAGCAAAAAUAUAUUACAAGAUCUAAGAAGUAGGGAUGUCUAUCCACUUGGAGCUAUUUUAAAUUCUUAUUUCAAGGGCUCAAGCUCUUGCCAAUGGACCCAUUUUCUUAGCUGCCAAAAGUGAAUACUUUAAAAGAGGUAGCUUGAAAAUAUUCUGUGGCACUAAAAA
rnacentral:lncRNA from 1 species